UACGUAGGGUGCAAGCGUUGUCCGGAUUUAUUGGGCGUAAAGAGCUCGUAGGCGGUUUGUCGCGUCUGCUGUGAAAACUCGGGGCUUAACCCCGGGCCUGCAGUGGGUACGGGCAGACUAGAGUGCGGUAGGGGAGACUGGAAUUCCUGGUGUAGCGGUGAAAUGCGCAGAUAUCAGGAGGAACACCGAUGGCGAAGGCAGGUCUCUGGGCAUUAACUGACGCUGAGGAGCGAAAGCAUGGGGAGCGAACAGG
rnacentral:rRNA from 1 species